rnacentral:rRNA from 1 species
GAUGAACGCUGGCGGCGUGCCUAACACAUGCAAGUCGAACGGACUUACAUUGAAGCCUAGCGAUAUGUAAGUUAGUGGCGGACGGGUGAGUAACGCGUGGGUAACCUGCCUUGUACUGGGGGACAACAGUUGGAAACGACUGCUAAUACCGCAUAAGCGCACAGCUUCGCAUGAAGCAGUGUGAAAAACUCCGGUGGUACAAGAUGGACCCGCGUCUGAUUAGCUGGUUGGUGAGGUAACGGCCCACCAAGGCGACGAUCAGUAGCCGGCCUGAGAGGGUGAACGGCCACAUUGGGACUGAGACACGGCCCAAACUCCUACGGGAGGCAGCAGUGGGAAUAUUGCACAAUGGGGGAAACCCUGAUGCAGCAACGCCGCGUGAGUGAAGAAGUAUUUCGGUAUGUAAAACUCUAAUCAGCAGGGAAGAUAAUGACGGUACUGAC